rnacentral:tRNA from 1 species
AAGGGAGACCUAAUUCAGGUAUGGGACGAAAAAAAAGUAGUCCCAACCAAGAAUCAAUCCCAAAAGGUCGGAACGAGGUAUGAGGCUUUCAAACUAGGUUCUGGGUUCAUAAAAGACCUGAAUCAGGAACAAGGGCUAUUAGCUCAGGUGGUUAGAGCGCACCCCUGAUAAGGGUGAGGUCCCUGGUUCGAGUCCAGGAUGGCCCACCUGCACAGGUGGCAAAAACAAGAGAAGCUCCGAAUCAGCACCUUAUCUUAUAUACAUAUAUAAGAGAGAAUGCUGGCUCUGAGUAAAGAGUCCAGAGGAACCUUGAAAACUGCAUAGAGCUAGGUGAAAAAGCCAAAAAAGAAGACCGCAA